rnacentral:rRNA from 1 species
UACGGAGGAUGCAAGCGUUAUCCGGAAUUAUUGGGCGUAAAGCGUCCGUAGGUGGUUUUUCAAGUCUGCUGUCAAAGCGUGGAGCUCAACUCCAUAACGGCAGUGGAAACUGGGAGACUAGAGUGCGAUAGGGGUAACGGGAAUUCCCAGUGUAGCGGUGAAAUGCGUAGAGAUUGGGAAGAACACCAGCGGCGAAAGCGCGUUACUGGGUCUGCACUGACACUGAGGGACGAAAGCUAGGGGAGCGAAAGGG